rnacentral:lncRNA from 1 species
AUGAGGAAACUGAGGCUCAGAGUCACACGUUUGCAUUUCCAAAGAGGAACUAAUGAUUAUCGUAAUAUAAAUAUACUGUAUUUACUUAUUUUUGAAUAUAUUUUAAAUGGCAAUGCUAUGGACCUAACAGAAGCAGAAGAUAUUAAGAAGAGGUGGCAAGAAUACACAGAAGAACUAUACAAAAAAGAUCUUCAUGACCUGGAUAAUCACGAUGGUGUGAUCACUCAUCUAGAGCCAGACAUCCUGGAAUGUGAAGUCAAGUGGGCCUUAGAAAGCAUCACUACGAACAAAGCUAGUGGAGGUGAUGGAAUUCCAGUUGAGCUCUUUCAAAUCCUGAAAGAUGAUGCUGUGAAAGUGCUGCACUCAAUAUGCCAGCAAAUUUGGAAUACUCAGCAGUGGCCACAGGACUGGAAAAGGUCAGUUUUCAUUCCAAUCCCAAAGAAAGGCAAUGCCAAAGAAUGCUCAAACUACCGCACAAUUGCACUCAUCUUACAUGCUAGUAAAGUAAUGCUCAAAAUUCUCCAAGCCAGGCUUCAGCAAUACAUGAACCAUGAACUUCCUGAUGUUCAAGCUGGUUUUAGAAAAGGCAGAAGAACCAGAGAUCAAAUGGCCAACAUCCACUGGAUCAUGGAAAAAGCAAGAGAGUUCCAGAAAAACAUCUAUUUCUGCUUUAUUGACUAUGCCAAAGCCUUUGACUGUGUGGAUCACAAUAAACUGUGGAAAAUUCUGAAAGAGAUGGGAAUACCAGACCACCUGACCUGCCUCUUGAGAAAUCUGUAUGCAGGUCAGGAAGCAACAGUUAGAACUGGACAUGGAACAACAGACUGGUUCCAAAUAGGAAAAGGAGUACAUCAAGGCUGUAUAUUGUCACCCUGCUUAAUUAACUUAUAUGCAGAGUACAUCAUGAGAAAGGCUGGGCUGGAAGAAACACAAGCUGGAAUCAAGAUUGCCGGGAGAAAUAUCAAUAACCUCAGAUAUGCAGAUGACACCACCCUUAUGGCAGAAAGUGAAGAGGAGCUAAAAAGCCUCUUGAUGAAAGUGAAAGAGGAGAGUGAAAAAGUUGGCUUAAAGCUCAACAUUCAGAAAGCGAAGAUCAUGGCAUCUGGUCCCAUCACUUCAUGGGAAAUAGAUGGGGAAACAGUGGAAAUAGUGUCAGACUUUAUUUUUCUGGGCUCCAAAAUCACUGCAGAUGGUGACUACAGCCCUGAAAUUAAAAGACGCUUACUCCUUGGAAGAAAAGUUAUGAUCAACCUAGAUAGCAUAUUCAACAGCAGAGACAUUACUUUGCCGACUAAGCUCCGUCUAGUCAAGGCUAUGGUUUUUCCAGUAGUCAUGUAUGGAUGUGAGAGUUGGACUGUGAAGAAGGCUGAGCACCGAAGAAUUGAUGCUUUGGAACUGUAG